GGAAUACUAGAUACACUUACUGAUUGGGGGAUUUGACCAGCAGUUGGCUGCAUUUCCAGCUAAGUCGUCAGCCUGGAUAUUGAUGAAUUUUUUUAAUAAGAGAACAUCUCUUUUUUAUCUAUGUCUCUGUCAAAAGUGAGUGAACACAGGACAUAGUGUUCACAGUUGAAGGAGCAGGUACCUCCAUAAAUCCGUUUCUCCAUGAGAACAACAAAAACAGCGAAACAAAAUACCCAGUCAACUUUUUCCGAACUCUGGAAGUCAACCAAAGCACCAUCCAGUGAAAUUACAAACCCAUCCUGAAUUGAAAUCUAAGCCAUACCAAGAUCAUGGGACCUGUGGCUGGUUGCCUGUGUUUUCCUCCUGGAUUCUAAAGGGCCCCUCCAAAGGACAAAGGUGUGGAAUCCAUGUGAGCCACCUGAGGCCAAGGUGCGGCUUUACAGAGGCAGCAGCGGCAGCAGCGGCGGCAGCAGCGCAGCUCCAUAUUCCCAAAUCCCUUCCCCUUUCUCUUUUUCCUUCUCCAAUUUAUCCAUUGCUUUCCUGAGCCUCCUAAGAUAGCAGUAGAUUUACAAAUGGGCUAUUAGAGAUGUGAGAUGUUUUUUGCAAAUUAGUAAACAUACAUCAUUCGUUAGUCAUAAACAAUAGAUUUUGAGGAACUGUCCUACAAUUAACAAUCUCAUUUCAUUUUUGAUGUACUUUAUUCAUGACGAGGUCUCAUUUUACUUUCAAUUCUCCAAAGGUG
rnacentral:lncRNA from 1 species